rnacentral:rRNA from 1 species
GACGAACGCUGGCGGCGUGCUUAACACAUGCAAGUCGAACGGAAAGGCCCUGCUUUUGUGGGGUGCUCGAGUGGCGAACGGGUGAGUAACACGUGAGUAACCUGCCCUUGACUUUGGGAUAACUUCAGGAAACUGGGGCUAAUACCGGAUAGGAGCUCCUGCUGCAUGGUGGGGGUUGGAAAGUUUCGGCGGUUGGGGAUGGACUCGCGGCUUAUCAGCUUGUUGGUGGGGUAGUGGCUUACCAAGGCUUUGACGGGUAGCCGGCCUGAGAGGGUGACCGGCCACAUUGGGACUAAGGUACGGCCCAGGCUCCUACGGGAGGCAGCAGUGGGGAAUAUUGCACAAUGGGCGGAAGCCUGAUGCAGCAACGCCGCGUGCGGGAUGACGGCCUUCGGGUUGUAAACCGCUUUCGCCUGUGACGAAGCGUGAGUGACGGUAAUGGGUAAAGAGGCACCGGCUAACUACGUG